rnacentral:rRNA from 1 species
CCUACGGGCGGCAGCAGUGGGGAAUAUUGGACAAUGGGGGGAACCCUGAUCCAGCGACGCCGCGUGAGUGAAGAAGUAUUUCGGUAUGUAAAGCUCUAUCAGCAGGGAAGAAAGGAAUGACGGUACCUGACUAAGAAGCCCCGGCUAACUACGUGCCAGCAGCCGCGGUAAUACGUAGGGGGCAAGCGUUAUCCGGAUUUACUGGGUGUAAAGGGAGCGUAGACGGUUACGCAAGUCUGGAGUGAAAGGCGGGGGCCCAACCCCCAGACUGCUUUGGAAACUGUAUAACUGGAGUGCAGGAGAGGUAAGUGGAAUUCCUAGUGUAGCGGUGAAAUGCGUAGAUAUUAGGAGGAACACCAGUGGCGAAGGCGGCUUACUGAACUGUAACUGACGUUGAGGCUCGAAAGCGUGGGGAGCAAACAGGAUUAGAUACCCGAGUAGUC